rnacentral:lncRNA from 1 species
UCAUUAAAAAUCGUGACGAAAAGGGAUAUAUGAUAAACAUGCCUAAAGCUCAUAGCAUAAUCAUAUAGGCAUAAAAGGCAUUUAAGACAAACAUGGCAUAUCAUGAUAACAUCAUGAAUGACAUAUACAGGUACUCCAGCGGAGCAAGAGGAUGCAAUGUUAGUUAUACUGAAUCAAGGAAAGGACACCUGAGCUCCACCAGAUGACAUCUUUUGGGUAUGUGGAUGUUUCAUUUCUGUUUUCAAAAAAAUCAACUCAUAAUUGCGAAAGGUGAGUUGAGCCUCGGGGCACGCCGAGGUAUUUUCAAAUUCUACUUUAAAAAAAUCAACUCAUAUUGCGAGAGGUGAGUUGAGCCUUGGCUUACGUGUUGAGUCACUUUCAAUUUCUGUUUUUAUCAACUCAUAUUGCGAGAGGUGAGUUGAGCCUCAAGGCACGCUGAGGCAUUUUCAAUUUAUGUUUUUCAAAAAUCAGCUCAUAUUGCGAGAGGUGAGUUGAGCCUCAGGGCACGCUGAGGUAUUUUCAAUUUCUGCUUUUCAAUUUCUGCUUUCCAAAAAAUCAACUCAUAUUGUGAGAGGUGAGUUGAGCCUCAGGACACGCUGAGGUGAUUUCAAUUUAUGUUUGUCAAAAAAAAAAUCAACUCAUAUUGCGAGAGGUGAGUUGAGCCUCAGGGCACGCUGAGGUAUUUUCGAUUUCUGCUUUCCAAUUUCUGCUCUUCAAAAAAAUCAACUCAUAUUGCAAGAGGUGAGUUGAGCCUCAGGACACGCUGAGGUAAUUUCAAUUUCUGUUUGUCAAAAAUCAACUCAUAUCGCGAGAGGUGAGUUAAGCCUCGGCUCACAUGCUGAGGUCUUUUCAAUUUCUAUUUUUAAUUUCUGUUUUUCAAAAAUCAACUCAUACUGCAAGAGGUGAGUUGAGCCUCAGGACAUGCUGAGGUAAUUUCAAUUUCUGUUUUCUCCAAUUUAUGUUUUUCAAAAAUCAGUUCAUAUUGCGAGAGGUGAGUUGAGCCUCGGCUCACAUGCUUAGGUAUUUUCAAUUUAUGUUUUUUCAAUUUAUAUUUUUCAAAGAUCAACUCAUAUUGCGAGAGGUGAGUUGAGCCGUGGGUUCACAUGUCAAGUUUUAAGGAGUCAAUUCAUAUUGCGAGAAAUAAGUUAAGCUCAGGAUCACAUGCCGAGUAAAGAAUGAAGAUUGGAGCUGAUUGAAGACACCAGAUCUUUUCUCCCUGAAGUUGCAGUGAAGUUGAUCGAUAAUAUCAAAUCUUACCUUUCUGAAGUGGUAGAAGAGAAGACCACAAACCUUAUCUCGCUGAAGCAAUAGAAGAGCAAAUUGAGGUUGUAGAUCUUAUCUCCUUGAAGUUGCAGUGAAGCAGAUCGAAACCACAAAUUUUAUAUCCUCGAAGUUACUUUGAAGUAGAUUAAAGCUACAAGGCAUAUGUCAGAAGAUCUAGUGGAUUGAACCAAAGCUACAAGAUGCGGUGGACUGGAAAGAGACUACCUGAACAAGAGGAGUACCAAGGAAGUCAAGACUCGGCGAGACUGGGCAAAAUUGGCCUUUCUUUGUGUCUUUGCUCUAUUCCCAUUACACGACAAUGAGCAAAGAGGGGCAGUUGUUGCAGGCCAAUUUUGGCCCAAAUACAACCCAAUUACUCAAACCCCUUAAAACCCAAUACAAAAUAGCCCAAACUACUAACCCUAGCCCAGACCAAUAAUAAAAAAUAGCAAAGAAAAAAAAGAACCCUGGCCACCCCAUGAUGUUUGCCACCCCACGCCUCUGCAGCAUCAUUCCCAGGCAUCACACAUUCCCACCAACUCCUCCAUACCCUGCAAUCAGACAAGACAGAAGCAAUAAAAAAUAGGUGUAAAAGGGUUAUAAAAACCCAAAUCAAAAACUGAAAGGGGGUUCCCCUUUUCUUUUCUUUUUCUAGACAAUCUAAAAUACAAAAGAACAAGAGAAGUAUCUCAAGUUUAUAAUCAAAGUAGCAGUUUUAAUUAGUACUCAAAUACAAGCAAAAUAUCCAAACAACCAAGCAUCGAUAUCAACACUAAGGUGAUUUUCUUUUUUUUCUUCAUUUCAGUUUCGGCCUUCUAUUUUAUAUGUGUACAUACUAAAUAAAAUAAUAAAAUAAUAAAGUAAACAAUAACAAAAAAAAGAAAGAAAAAUUUUACCUUUUCGAAUAUCCGGCCACCGUGCACGGUGGUCGGCGCCGGCGCCGGCGAGACUCCGAUAACAGACCGGUGCUCCUUCCCCCCACCAGAUUCUCCUUCCCUCUCUCCCUUUCCUCUCCCUCUUUUUCUUUUUUUCCUUUCCCCGGCUCAAAAUGAUUUUUUUUAAAAUUUUUUUACUUAUAUAGGGGACCAAAACGCAUCGUUUUGGUCCCCCCGGGUUAAUAAUAAAACGACGUCGUUUUGGGCCCCGGGUAGGGUCGACCCGACCUGCUCCGACAGGAUCCGCGUGUUUUCUAAACGGAAGGGCUAUUUGCGCAAUCAGCCCUUCCGCUUUUUAAACGUUUUAGAAUCAAGUUUUUAUAUUUUAAUUUGGCCCCAGAAUUUUUCCUAUUUUUCAAUUUAGUCCCCUCGUGCUACGCUGCGUUUUGUAUAAAUGGGAAUAUGGCGCUCUUGGUCCCUUUGAGUCACUUGCGCGUUGCAGUUCGGCCCCGUGGCUUAUUUUAUUUCAAUUUUCGCCCCAAAGUUUAUUUUGUGCUCGAUUUAGUCCUUUUGUUAGUUUAUUGUUUAUUUUCAAACUAUUUUGUUAUUAUUUUGUUAUUAUAUAUUAUUAUAAAUUAUAGUCUAUAUAGUCAUUUUAUUUAUUUAUUACACACUAUAGUAUAGUAUCUUUUAUAUAUGUAUAUGAACUUAGUAUACUUGGGUAUUAUAUUUAUAUAUAUAUUUUUAUAUAUUAUAUAUAUACUUUUAAUAUUGUAUUUUAUAUAUCAUAUAUUUUUAAUGUUGUAUAUUAUAUUUUACAUAUUAUACUACAUAUAUUUUCAUAUUACAUAUAUACAUAUAUUUUCUAUAUUAUUAUCAUGUAUAUAUUUGAUAUACUAGUAUAUAUUACUUAUAUAUUUCCAUGUAUAUAUUUUAUACUGUCCCAUAAACACAUUAUGUAGUGUUGUUAAUAUUUUUAUGUUAUUAGCAUUUCUAAUAUGUAUGGUAUAUGUUCAUUAUCAAUAUUUAUAUAUAUCUAUAUACUUUCAAUAUUAUUAGUUAUUUCUUAUAUACUAUUCCAUGUACAUAUUUCCAUAUUAUCUUAUGUAUAUAUAUUCUUAAAUACUCUUACAUGUAUAUGUAUAUUUUUAAUACCAUACUAUACAUAUAUUAUUGCAUAAUUAGUACACAUGUUUUAUUAUACAUAUAUAUACACUUUUUAUUUUUAUUAUUUCCGUAUAUCAUAUUAUUCAUUUUUAUACUUAUUAUUUUCAUUAUUGUCAUUUAUAUAUUAUUAUUAUUUGGUGUACAUACAUCUUUUAUUAUUAUUAGUAGUAUAUAAAUAUAUUUUCUAUGUUUAUAGUAUCCCUAAUAUAUAUUGUAUGUGUUCAUUUAUAUUAUGUAUACAUGUAUCUAGUAUGUAUAUAUUUUUAUCUUUAUUACUAUUGUUGUUAAUUUUUAGCAUAUGUUUUAUGUGUGCAUGUAUAUAUAUUUCUAGUAUAUGUAUAUAGGUGUAUAUGUAUGUAGUAUCGUAAUAGGUUUCUAUUAUUAUUCCCAAUGUGUAUAUACUAUGUAAAUAUUUUAGUACUAUAAUACAUAUAUAUGUAUUCAUGGUGUAUUUGCAUUACGCAUACGUAUCUUUUUAAUAUUAUAUCUUCAUAUACGUCAUAUAUAUAUUUUUCAAGCUAUAUUAAAUUUUACAUUUUAUCUUAUAAAUACAUGUAUAUAUAUUAUUUUUAACUAUCUUAUGCACAUUAUUUUUAACUUUACAUUAUGUAUGUAUCUCUCAUAUCAUUAGUUGUAUAUAUUUUCAUGUUACCUUAUGUAUAUAUUAUCUUAUGUUAUUAUUACUAAGUGUAUUUUGUAUUUGUUCAUGAUUUGUCUUUAUUUUUAUAUCAUUAUUAUUGUUUUUCGAAUGUUCUAGUAUCCCAUGUUAAUAUUUUUCAUUAAUAAUGUUAUUGUUUGCAUCUUUGAUUUAUUUUCAAUUCUUACUUCAUAAAUAUUUUUAUGUUUUAAUUAAUAAUCGAGGCAACAUAUCGAUUUAACAUUAAGUCAUAAAUUUCAUCGCUAUGUUGGAUGGAAUUUGUCGGCUCGUGUUAAAAUGAUAUAUCAUUCACAAAAAACCGACAAAAAAUUAAAAUUUCUCGUUUUUUAAUCGGAUCACGAUUAGAACUUAAAUUGAACUCGUAUUUUUGCAAAUCAAGACAACACAUGUUUAAAAGAUACCAAUUUUGGGCGUCGCGAGGGUGUUAAUACCUUCCUCGCGCGUAACCGACUCCUGAACCCUAAUUUGUCUCUGGAAUUUGACGUGGACCUAAACUUAUUCUUCAUUUUGUUUUAAAAAUAAAGGAAUCUAAUGGGUGUCCGAUCACACCCUAAAAAAGAUAAGUGGCGACUCCCGGUUUAUUUUAAAAUCAAAUUUCAAUUUCUAAGUUUCUUAAUAAAUCGCCACAAUUAGCGAUCAAGUAAUUUUUACGUCGCUACACAAUUCACCUAUUAUGGGCUCGAUUUACGGAAAUGAUGUCCCAAUACCUUAUUUUCUAACACCACUGACUUUAGGGUCAUUAAACUUGUACAUUAAUUAACUAUCUAAUUAACGAAAUUAAAAAACCAAAUUCUAAUUAAACUUCAUACUAACUUCGUAAAUAUUAAAUAAUAAUAUUUAAGGACUUAAUCAUCAAAAAUGAGAUUUCGAAACCACCGUUUCCGACGCCACUAAAAACAAACUGUUACAAUAUCAAAUAAUAUAUAAUAUAUUAAUAUUUUAUAUAUAUGUAUUAAUGAUUAGAUAUUAUGUAUUAUGUGAUAUUAUAUCUUUUAUUAUAAUCUAUAAUAUAAUAAUAACUAUAUGAGUAAUAAUAUUUUUACUAAUAGUUAUAUAAUAGAUUAUUAUAUUAAUAGAUCAUCUAUUAUAGUUAGUGAUCAAAAUCAAUUUAAACAACCAAAUCAAAUCGAUUCAAGCAAAUUGGUUGGUAAAUUCGAUUUUGAUUUUGGACCAAUUAAUAGUUAUAUGUGUAUUAAUAAUUUUAAAAUAUAUUAUUACAUUAUGCAAUACUAUAUCACAUAAUGUAACAAUAAUACAUAAUAUAUAGUUGUUUAUUAUUUUAUUGGUUGAAAUAUACUCUAAAUCCCUAUACCCUUCAUACAUUUGAAAGUUAGCUCUCCUAUUAUAUUAUACAAUGUUAUAUCAUAUCAUAUAAAUAUAAUAUAUUAAGGAGAAAGAUCCACUUACACCAGUUACACCCUUCCAUAUCUCUUUGUACGAUUAAUAUUUUAAUGAUCCAACUGAUAUAUUUUAUAUUUUAUUCAUAUAGAUCAUGCAUGCCAAAUUUGAUGUAAAUUAAAAAUUUAUAACUACUUGUUUUAUGUAAAAAAAUUAAUUGUUUUAAUAAAUAUUAAUAUUUAUACUAUUUUACACCGAUACGAUAGAGAUAUAAAAUCAAUUUAAAAAUUUACAUACAUAACUAGUAUAAUUGUAAUGAUAAAUUCAACGGAUAAAAAAUUAGUCAUACAAAUAGAUACAAAAGGAUGUAAAACUAUUUUAAUUUUUUUUUUUUAUCAAUGUAAGUGGAUCCCUUAUCAUAUAUUAAUAGUUUAUAUAUACAAGGGUGUAUCUAAGGGCAGGGAGGGCCUUGGCAUCCAACCAAAUGGUAUAAUUACUAUUUUAGGCAUUCCAAAAAAUAAAACAUUAAAUUUAAGUAUUUUAAGUCUUCAGUUAAAUGGAAAAUAUUUAAUUUUGGUCCAUCUAGAAAAUUAAUAAUUUAAUUAAGUGUUUUUAACACAAUAAUUUUAGCUUCCCCCAAAUUCUAUAAUUUUAUAUUGACUCCGUAAACAAAUUUUUUGACUUUGUCCAUGCAUAUAUAUAUAUAUAUGCAUUAAUGAUUAGACAUUAUAUUAUUAUUUAAUAUUAUAUCUUUUAUUAUAAUAUAUAAUAUAAUAGUUAUAUAUAUGUAUUAAUAGUUUUAGUAAUAGUUAUAUAUUAUAUUAUUAUAUUAUUAUAUGAUAUAAUAAUAUAUCAUCUAUUAUAAUUAGCUAUUAAAACCGACAUAGUUGAUUAAUCAAGCCAAUUCAAUCAAAUUAGUUGGUAAAUUCAAUUUUUGGAUUCGGUUUGAACAGUUUCGAUUUAAAGUCAAGUUAAGUAAUCAAUUAAUUUAGUGUUAUCAGUUUAGUUUCAAUUUUGAAAUUAAAAACUAUAACACCCCAAACUCGACCUAGACGUUAUGGUCGAAUUUGGAGGAGUUACACUGGCUCAUUUGAAAAAACUAAUUAAAAAUCCCAUUUUAGAAGUCGUGUGAACUGAAAAUAAUAAUUUUUUACAAAAAUCUUACAUUUUUAUUUAGAGAAACUCAUGCGCAGAACUUUCUCAUUUUACAAAAAAAACAUUUAACUUCAUACUUAGUCUUGCAACGUUUAUUUCAGAGUCUUAAUUUUGAAAAUCAAGUUCUAAUUUGGUAAACCGUAUGAUUUUGCAAAUUUAUAGUAAAAAUACCAAAAACUGAUGAACAAUACAAUAACCAAAACCAAGACCAAAAACAACCAUACAGUCCAAAAAUCAAAAGUCCGGAAACCUUAAUUCAUUAACCAAAACAGAUAGUUUAAUGUGAAAAACCAAUCCCAACUCUCACACGCCAUCUGGUCCUAAAUUAGCUGAUUACCUGAAAAGUCAAAAACAGAAAGGUGAGCUAUAAAGCUCAGUAUGCAACUAAACUCAAACAGAGAACUCAAAUAACAGAACUAUCAAAUCAGGGAAACAUAAAGAAUUUCAUAUCGAUCAUUUGAGCUAAACUGAGAAUGCAUGAUUAUGCCAAAGCAGUACAUUUUAGAAAAUAUAAUGUAGAUUUUUCGAAAAAAUUCCUACUUAACUCCACUACACACCAAAUAGAGUUCCCCAAAAGUCGUACAUCCAAUCACACCAAUAGAUAGUUGUGGUCAAUGCUAUUAGAUUUGUAGUUAAAACUGUCAAAUCGAAUAUAUGUAGCCAAACCACUAUUUUGUAGCCAAGCUACCAAACAGAAAUGUGGAUAAACCACCCAAUAGUGCAGAUCAUUAAACUAUCAUAACUUUCUCCUUUCCAUAAUAUCCCAAACCCUAUGCAAUGUGACAUGGCAUACAUAUACUGAAUCACAAUGAAAAUCAUGUAAAACAUGCAGUCGUACAAUAUCAGAAAUCAGAAGGCAUGGCAUUCCAUACUUUAGCAGAAUAAACGUAUCACAAAUGCCACAUAAACAAAUCAAUUUUUUCCAUAACGUCACAUACAUGGUCAUAUAGCAGAAUCCAAAGAUACACAAAUCAAACAGAUUCAAACAUCAUAUGCUCAUACUCAACAUAGAAAACUGAAAACAUACAAUCAAAAUUGACAAAACACAAGUUGUACGUAUAUAAUUUACAUACCUUUAACACAUCAUAUAGAGAAGUAUAUUAACAGAUGCGUUGUUUUGAAGACUUAUUAAGCAAUAUGGACCCCACGGAGUCUAAUUACGAAUUUCAAAAUCAAAUGGGCCUAAGUGAAAAUUUUCAAAAAAUGGCCUCACAUGCCCGUGUGGCCUAUACAACCUAACUAGUCCAUCUCGUGUGGACCACACGAUUUGGCACACCGACUAUGUGGCUCACACGAUCUACCACACGGUCAUGUGAUGUCGACAGUGAAUUUUUUGACUUUCUGUUGAUCGCCAUUUCUACGAGUUCGAGUCACACACCUGGAUAUUUCUGAUAAACGACGAUCCGACACCCUUCUAGACCUUAAAACCAGUGUACCAAAUGGACUAAUUAACAAAUUUAUUCAAAUUUUAAACAAAAAUUAGACUACCAAUGCUAAACAAGCAGUCUUGAGCACAAAGGAUAAGCCCUUGAAAAUGUAGUCGAACACUUAACCCAAUCGAAGUAACCACUCCUAAGGCCUUCCAAACGUCAUAAAAGGGUUUUGCACCUCUCGAUUUUCACCUAACAAAAGUACAAGAGUAAUUAACCCAACAGAAAACCUUUACAAACUGUUAACGAAAAUUCACACUCAAUUUCCCCUAACCAAAACGAACAGAUUUUUACUUACACCAAAGUUUUAAUACCGCAACAAAGACACUUCCAAAUGCCCAAGAUCGGAUACAAGCUUUAAGCGAUGAAAACACCAAAACUACGAUAUCAAACAUAUGAAGAAUGAUAGAAACAAAAAGAAAAAGAAAAUAAAGAAAAUUCUGAGAAGAAAGAAGAAUAGAAAAAGUAACGUGAAACAAAAUUGACAGAGAAGUAGGGAGGAAGGAGUGGGAGCAAAAUUAGGAGAUAAUCCCUCAAAUUUUCUUUUUUAAUAACUACCCACUAACUUCGUCACUUAUCCACAUCAGAUUUUCUUUCAGAGUUUAAAAUAAAAAUAAAUUUCUAUUUUGCACACACGGGUUUCAAACACAAGACCACUGGUAAAUUGAAGCCUCACCAUUAAACGAGCAAACUCAUUCUACUAACAAAAAUUAAAGAUAAGCUAGGUACGAUUAGUUAGAUAUAAAGAUAAGACAAAUAAAACCCAAGGGAAGAGAUUCGAACCCAGAACCGCAUACUCGACAAAACUUUCGCAAUCUUAACCCAAAAAUCAAGGUGUGAUCAUUCUUGAUUUCAGUAAUUCAAUUUCUUCUAACACAGUUUUCGGAAUGUGACAAAAACCAUUUAAACCAAAUUAAUCAACUUUGCACCUAUUAUAUAUGUACCAACCAAACCCAAACCUAAGCCUAAUAUAAAUUUUAUUUAGAACUCAACCUAAAUAAAUAUAAACCCAAUCCAAAUUAAAAGUUAAUGUAAAGAUAAUAAAUAUAAUAAUAUUAAUAAAAUUAAUAAAAUUUUAAUAUCAAUAAAAAUAUUAAAUGUUAAUCAUUAAAAGAUAAAUUUAUUUGUAAUAUUAUUAGUCUUACAUAAUAAAUCAUGUUCAAUCAUUAGUAACCGUGUUAUUACAUUAAUAUAUUAUUUCAUUAUAUGUUUUAUAUUAUCAUUAAAUUUAAAUAUUAUAAAUUUUGAUAAUUAUUAAUUUUAUAUAUUUAUUAUACAUAUAUAAUUAUAAUAUUAAAAAAUAUUUUAUAUUCAAUUAAUAUUCUUAAAAAUUUAUUUCAUUUUAUAACGCAAGGAAAUUAAGGAAAAUAAAAAAUGAUGAGCACAAGCUGGAAGAAACUAUAUUUUGUUAUUUUAGCUAUGGGCCUAACCAUAGCUGGGCCUGAGUAGUAAUUUAGUCCCACUAAAAAGUUUUUGUCCAAGUUAUUUCUAAGUUGGGCUUUUUUAAGUAGUAUUUUUAGUAAUUAUAUUAUUUUAUAUUGUUAAUUAAUGAAUCGAUUGAACUAAUAAAACUGAAAAUCAGUGGUCUAACUAACUCAAUUAUCAAUUUGUUUCUGAAAAUAUUGUUGACAUGGAAAGGUCACUCGCUGAAAAUCAACAUUCACUUUUAUUCCUAUUUUAUCUUUAGUAUUUAUUAUUUUGUAUUGUUGUUUUUAUCAUUUUACUUUUAUGAUGCUUUAAAAAUUGUAAUUUCAUUUAUAACUGAUUGUUUAAAAAUUUAAAAUAUUUUUAUAAUUUAAUAGAUCACCUAAGUAAUUAAUUUAAAUAUAUUUUUAUAUAUUUAUUUCAGAAUUUAUGAUACAUUACAAUUUCACAUAUGGUUUCAUGAAAAUAAAAUAACUUAAAACUUUUAUUAUAUAUUAUUUUAAAUCUAAUAUUCUUAACGAUAAUUUUUUAUUCUCACUUCACCACUACAACUACUUUUAGAUCCAAACACACAUUUUAUUGUUGAUUUUAUCUCACUGAUAUACCAUCUAAUCUCAUUGUUAUAGUAUUCAAUUUCACUUUCAUUUUUUUUUCUUUAAUCUCAGUAGAGACAAACACAUUAACCAUCCAAAGAAACUUUAAUUAUUCCUAAAAUUACUUCUACAUCCUUUUUUAAUAUAAAAAGUUGUACUCAAGAGACAUUAAAAAAAUUAUAUUUUUUUGAAUUACUAUUAAUAGAAAUGUUUGUAAUAAAAAAACAACCAUCGACAUAAUGUAUAAGGUGAAAUAAGAUAAUAAUAAAAAUAUUUGCAAUGUCUACUAUUCCAACCUCUAAAGCAUACCUCUCCAUUGACAUCAUGAUCCUAUCAUUGGCGACAGUAAUAGCAGUGGUUACCAAAGGCAGCACCAAGGGAGUUGGGAGGGCCAAGCCCCCCUAAAAUGAAAAAAAUAUUACAUUGUCUCUUUUUAUUAUAAAAAAAAAUGAUAAAAUUUUAAUUUAAUUUUUUUUUAAAUUAUAAAAAUAUAAAUUAAUACUGUGAUAAAACUAUAUUUUAACUCUAAAAAUAUAUAUAAUCAAUUCCAACUCUGGGGGAAAAAAAAUUCUAACUUUGUGGUUACAAUAGUGAAGGAAGAUCCCUUCAUCAAGCAAGUCCAAGAGGAAGAGACCAAAGCUUGAGUGAGGUAGUGCUAGCUUUCAAGAGCUUGAUGAAAUCAAAGUGGAUCCAACGGAUAGCUUGGUUUCCAUUCUUGUUGUUUGACACUGACUGGAUGGGGUGCUCCAUCAUCUCGGGGUUGACUUUGCUUGCAUUGGAGCCUGCGGGGUCAAUAAAUUGUGUUGCAUGCUCGGCAUGGACGGUGUUGAUUUCAAAGAUAGCUUAGGCUUGGAGACAAACACCAUGGGCCCAUCCUCCACUCAACGUCAAAGCCUCAACCUUGGCUGCUUUCAGAAUCUUGCGCUUACUUUCAUUAUCUUUCGUUUCUUCCUUUGGUUUCUACGUCACACACUUUCGUUGAAUUAGGCCAAACAGCAUGUGAACAAUUUUAAUUAUUAUUAUUUUUUAAAUAUUUUUAACAAGGUGUAAACGUAUUAAUUUGUUGUUAACAUGUAUGUCAGUAAGUAAUGUGGUUUAAAUACAAAAGAUUUGACCAUUGAGGCUUAGAAAUUGACCCCAAAAGAAUUUUGAUAACACAAGCUUCCGCCAAUCUACGUUAGUGACAUAUAUGCUUUUGUUUUGAUAAGACAACCUCGGGUUCCUGUUGCUCUCAAUUUCAAUUUCCUCCAUCUCCAACUUGCAUAAUAUUCUUUCGUUUAAAAACAUAAGCUCGAAUUCAAGCUAUCCACAAUAAUCUAGUAAAAUCCAUAUAUUUCUUAGGAUGCAAGCUUCAAGAGAAAAAAUUGUAUUAAUCAAAAAAUUUCGGAAGUACAAUCGAAGUUUGUUAUUAAUACCUCAAUAGAGUAGCUCUUGUCACCUUUACUUCGCCCAAUCACAACUUUCCUGGUUAGGGCUUUGCCUAUGGGUAAUACUUCUCUAACUAUGCACCUCACGGACAUGUGCAUGUAUUGCAUGUGGGCCUCCCUUGACCCACUUUGCUAGGACAUAUGUUAGAAUUCUUUUUGCUUGGAUCACACGUGGGAUGUUACUUGUUCCAUAUCAAUCAUAUUAAUACUUUUUUUUUGAACCAACUGAUACUAUUAUUGAUUUGAAGAAGUAAUAAAUGUGGUUACCAGUCUAAAAAAAAGGAAAUAAAAACUGUCAAAAUAUGAUUGGGCACCAAAACGGUGCCUUGAGAAAGCAAAAAUAAACACAAUUAAAAACUAUUCCAGAAGCUUGUAAAGUAAAAUGAAGCGGCAGACAUGAAACCUUAUCUCUGGUAACCCUUUUUCUCCCUCAUUUGAAACCAAAAACCCGUUUGUAUCAGCUAUUGAAGAGACCUAUUCCCUCCCAGAAUCAAAUCUUUCUAGAACCACAGUCUCUGUCAAAAUUUCAAGUUCAUCGGGCAAUCAAAAUCACUGAGCCCGGACUCUACCUCUUCAUCUAUCCUUCAUAACCACCGUUUCGUCGCUCUUGAUUUACCAGGUUCUCCACUGCAGGCGGUACCUCCUCUAUCCAGUAUCGAGGGUGCUGAAAUCGGAUUCCUUCCUUUGCCAUCUCAUGAGCAGCUUUGUUGGCUUCCCUAGGUACGUGCUUGAAACACAAUCUCCUAAACUUGAGAACUUUCCCCUUGAUUUCUUUAAUCAAACUGCUAAUACACGAUCGAUCUUCUUCUGCAGAGUUCAGUUUUCGUAUAAUAGUUAGCGCAUCUCCUUCAACACAAACAUCCUGAAAACCCAGCUCUUCUGCCAUGACAAUAGCUUGUAAACACGCCCUUGCCUCGGCCAUAAAUGGAUCUGAAAUAUUAUCCAUGGAAAGGUACAGGCUGCCAUAGGCAAACCCUCUUUAUCACGUGCAAUGAUUCCUGAAAUAGAGCUUCUUGUGAUUCGAUUAAAUGCGGCGUCGAAAUUAAUUUUGAUGGUGUCAUUAUCCGGUGGUUUCCAGACUGAGUCUUUUAUGUCAUGUGUAUUCUGUAAUAUCUCCCCCAUACUAGAAAUUUCUGUAUAGUAAGCCUUGAUAAAUCCAACAACUUCAUGUACCUGCUCUCUGACUCUUUCAUGAUAUAGCUUGUUGCGAUUAUACCAGAUGGCCCAGUAAGCGAUAGAUUUGAUUUUGCAUGCUUCCAGACUCUUAUUUUCAAAAUCCGCUACUAACCAUGUUUUCCAAUUGGCUUCUCUGUUGCAUGUUGAAAAUGGCAUCUCCAAACCCCGCAAAACCUGCUGUGUGAAGGAACACUCCCUAAAAAGAUGGUCCACCGACUCCUCCUCAGAUAUGCAUACCGGGCAUAAAGGAUUGACAACCAAUUGACGAGAUUUUAGAUUAUGCAAAGUGGGUAAAUAGUUGUUAGCAAUUCUCCACAUAAAAAUACGAAUUUUGCAUGGCACAUGGAGCUCACAUAAUUUUGUAAAAAAAUUAGUAGGAAGUUCAUUAUGUAUUCUAGUACCCCCUCUGUAAUUAGCCAUCUGUAUUCGCUCUUAGCUGUAUAUGUCCCAGUAUUAUCCCCUCGCCAUACCAAUGCAUCUUGUGGUCUACUAUUUGCCAAUGGAAUUGUGAGAAUGCGCUUCAACUGUUCCUCUCCAAAUAAUGAUUGAAUAAUGUCUUGCUUUCAGGUAUUAUUUUCCUUAUCAAUUAAGUCCGAGACUCGAGUAACUCGUAAAUCCAUAUUCUGACAUCUGAUUCUACCACUGCCAAGUCCUGGAAGCCAACUAUCGUUCCAUAUAUUGACUGAUUCCCUAUUACCGAUUCGCCACCCCAUCCCCUCCUCGAGAAGUUGUCUGGCUCUCCAAAUACUACGCCAGGUAUACGAAGGGUAAGAACCUACCCUAGCACUCAUAAAAUCUCCUUUCGGGAAAUACUUAGCUUUCAUAACGCGUGCAAACAAACAAUCUGGUUUCGUGAUAAUUUUCCAACCCUGCUUCGCUAACAAAGCUAAAUUAAAUUUUGACAGAUCUUUAAAACCUAAACCUCCCUUCGCUUUGGGGAUGCACAUUUCACUCCAUUUACACCAAUGGAUACCUUUAUUAGUUUUACUAUUCCGCCACCAAAAUUUGCACAUUAAAUUCUCGAGCUCUCGACAAAAUGAAUCUGGUAGCUUAAAGCAUUGCAUAAGUUGGAAUCGCUUGUAAAAUAGAUUUUAAAAAUACCUCUUUUCCCCCAGCUGAUAAAAAGCGCAUACUCCAAUUAUUCAAUAAUUUGACACAUCGUUCUUUAAUAGCCACAAAAGCAUGUUUCUUCCUGCGUCCUACCAUAGUUGGCAACCCUAAAUACCGUUCUGGAUUGUUAAAGACUCUCACUCCCAAAAUCCUUCCCACUUGUACCUGUGUUUCCAAAUCCACGUUGCCACUGAAGUAGAUAAGAGAUUUGUCAAAGUUAACCAACUGUCCCGAGAUUUUUUCAUACUCCUGAAUCACGCUUUUCAUAUUAAUUGCCCCUUCACUUGAAGCCUCACCAAACAGCACACUAUCAUCUGCAAAAAAUAAAUGUGACACCGAUACAUUUCUUCUUCCCACUCUUGUCCCAAACAGCCUUCCAUCCCUUUUGGCUAGUGUAAUUAAUCUGAAAAAACCUUCCGCACAAAUGAGAAACAAAUACGGACUUAAUGGAUCGCCUUGUCUUAGCCCUCGUUGAGGUCUGAAUUCUUCUCCCUCCCUACCAUUUAUCACCACUGUAUAUGUUACGCUAGUAAUACAUCUCAUAAUAAGCGAGAUCCAGCCUUCAUAAAAACCCAUACUUCGCAUCAUUUUUUCUAAAAAAGCCCAUUCAAUUCUAUCAUAUGCUUUACUCAUAUCAAGUUUUAGAGCAAAGUUUUUCUUCGUGUUCCUCUCUUUCUUUUGAACGAAUGCAAAAUUUCGUAUGCCACGAAAAUGUUGUCUGUGAUUUGCCUUUCCGGUACAAACGCCCCUUGUGUGUCUUCAAUGCAUAAGUCCAGCACCUGUCGAAAACGGUAAACAAGUACCUUUGAGAUAAUUUUGUAGAUCACCUUGCAAAGACUAAUUGGGCGGAACUUAUUCAUUGACUUUGGUGAUUUCUCUUUGGGAAUAAGAACAAUGCUUGUUUGAUUUAUCUCUUCUAUGCUUCUUCGUCCAUUAAGAACAUCCAAACAAUAUGUAGUCACAUCCUCCCCUAUUAUGUUCCAAUACUUUUGAUAGAAUAUUGCCGGAUACACAUCCUUCCCUGAUGCCUUGAGGGGUGCUAUAGAUUUUAUCGCCUCAACAACUUCUUCUACUUUAAAUGUUGCCAUUAGCAUACUGUUGUCUUCCUCCGUAAUGCAUGGCAAAAAGGACUUGAACAAUCUAUCACAAUUACUUACCUCUGUAGAUGAGAACAGCUCUUUGAAAUACUCAGUAGCCAAAUUAGAUACUCCAUCCAUAUCGAUAAUUAAAUUCCCCGCUUCAUUUUCUAACUUGGUAAUUAGAUUUUUUCUUUUUCGUUGUGUCGCACUCUUAUGAAAGAAUGCCGUAUUUCUAUCCCCCAGACGAAGCCAAUUAACUCUUGCUCUUUGUUCCCAGAAUAGUUCUUCCUUAUCCGCUUCCAAAUUCAACUCUAAUUUAAUGUUUGUAAUUUCCUUCAACACUUCAUCACUGAUUUCACCUGCUCCUAAUUUGCUCAACCUGUCAUUUAGUUUUUUCGUUCGUCGUUCGGUCUGCUUUUUCUCCUGUUUUGCCCAAUUACUCAAAGAUAACCCCAAGUUCUUUAGUUUCUUCAACACAUCCAGAUUAUUUGAAUUCCACUCCCAUUUUAAUCGCUCCUCAAAUCCUGCCUCCAGAAUCUAGUCUGCAUUAAACCGAAAAUAACCUUGUUGUCUCUUUCCUUGCAACCCCUCCUCCUUAUUAGUUUCCACCAGACUUUAUACCCUGGGAAAAGAUCCCACCAUUUUGAGUUAGCUACCCCCUUAUCAAGUCUCUCCCUAAUAUUGUUGUCAACCAGACGACCUCUUUCCCAAGUGUACCACUGUCCCGAAAACCCCAAAUCGUAUAGCUCGCAGUAUUCAAUUGCCUCCAUGAAUGCAGCCAUCUGGCUUUCCUCCCGAAUUCUUCCCCCUUUCUUUUCAAAAGAAAAAAUAAUUUCGUUAAAAUCUCCGGUAACCAGCCAGGGCUUGUUAUUUUCGCGUUUCAACAAUCUUAGUAAGUCCCAUGAUUCUCUUCUUUCCUGCUCCACUGGCGCUCCAUAAAAUCCUGUAAACCUCCAUGUAUUUAACUCAUCUUCAUUCGCCACCUCCACAUCAAUGUGAGAUUUUGAAAAACUUUUCAAAGUUAAAUUCAAACCCUAUUUCCAUCCUAAUGACAAUCCUCCUCUCGUGCCAACUGCAUCUAUGUCAAUUCCAUUCAAAAAGCUACAUUGCCUUCUUAUUGCCUCCAUUCGUUUGCUCGAAAUCUUUGUUUCCAUAAGAAAAAAAAUUUGGGGUCGAAUAUGUCUCAAUUUGUUUUUGAGACGUCGAACUGUCCGUGGUUGCCCCAAUCCACGAACAUUCCAACUAAGGAUUUUCAUUGUGUCCGAUCAGCCACUUUAUGAGUGGUCGCCGAUAUAUCAUUCUCCAAACCCUCCAUUGAUAGUUCCCUAAAAUCCCCCGAGAUUCCCAUUUUUGCAUUAAUCCUUUGUCGUUUUUUACCAUCCAUGAUUUCCAUUAACAUGUCUUCCGAAUCCUCUUCUACCGUCAUUACCUCCAACUGGUUCGAAAUAACUUGGCUCCUUGUGUUUAGAUUUUUCCUAAGCUGUCGUGUGGAACGUCCCCAAGGGCCCACUUCUUCUUUCUCCUCAUUAUUAUUUGUAGCCUCCCCUCCAGCUUUUCUUACGCUUCUUUCCCCAUCUAUUUCCAUGUCCUGCCAUUUAUCUGUAUCUGACUCCUCUCUAAUCCACUUACUCACUACUUGUCCUCCUCGUCUUGGCGCAGCACGUAAUGUCAAAUCCCAUCCAAAUUCUAUAUGCUGAUUCCCCAUUCUUAAUCUGACCUCGCAAUAAUUUUCACCAUGACCAAGUCGGCCAUAAAUAAAACAAAAAAGUGACAACCUUUCAUACUGGAAUAAAACAUAAAUGAAUCUGUUCUGCCCAAUGCCUAUUCGUUUCUUCCUUUUAAGUGGUAAACGAACAUCAAUUAUAACCCUAACUCUCAUGAAUUUACUAACCCCUCUUGUCACCAAUGAUGAAUCGUAUUCCUCAAAUUUACCAAAAAAAUCUCCAAUUUGACGUGCUGUUUCCUCUGAUGUGUAACCAAUAGGUAAAUUAUGUACCUGAACCCAAAAGACUGUAUGCCAAAGGGGAACUGAAUUAGGGUCUUCACCCUCUACCAAUUUGUGAAAGAUAAUAAGAUGACGAUUAAAAAACCAUGGUAGACCAUGCAAGACUCGAUUGAAAUCAAUUUCACUAUAAAAUUUGAAUAAAAUCCUCUUAUCCUCCAUCUCAGUAAUGGUCACCCCUCUCAAUGGGUGCCAUAAAUCGGCCAAAGUAUUUUUUAAUGCAGGAAAAUUCACAAUACUAUCAGUAAGAACUCUCCCUACCAUGCACAGUUUAUACAACUGUUCCACGGUAGUAUCUUCUCCCAAAACCAGUAUGGGAUCUUCCUCUUCAUCUAUAAUAUUGAGAUUAGCAAGAUUUGUAUCCACCAGAUCAAUAUUAGCCAUGUCGUACCUCAAGGCAACAACAAGAUCCAAACCCUAAAGAAUACUAUUCGUACUAGAAAGCAGACCAAAGAAAACCCUGAUUCGUGCUACAAGACAGACUUUUUUUUUUAGGGGCGGGGUUUUUUUUAAAUGAACUGGUUUGAUUAUUUCCAAUCAUAUUAAUACUUAUCUAAAAAACUAUUUGUUCCUUAAGUGAUCAACCAUAACAAGAUAAAGAUCACAUGGCAAAAUUUAAGACUGUCACAUUCACUUAUAAGUAUCUAUAAUUGGCCUUAGCAACCUUCCACUUCUCAUCUUUCAUGUACUCUUUUUUUUUCUCUUAGUGGUUUUCAAUACCUCACAUCAUGUUAACUGCCAUGUUUCGCUUCCUCUUUGUUCCCAAUAAAGUUCUUUCUUUCAAGAAGCAGAACGUAUCAAUUAUGGCAAAUGCCAAAGCAAACAAAUCCCCAAUCACAUGUUCAUACUAGCAACAAAUACACUUUGGUAAUUAGUUGACAAAUAUAUGAUAUUUGGCAAACAUCUUGUCAACUAUAAAUUUUUGUAAUGCACUUGCAGAUGGUAGAGCAAAUGGAUCUGAAAACCAUACAUACCACCAAGGUUUGAAGCAUUUGGUACCACGGCAAUAAUUAAAGAACUAAAAUAGAGUAAUACCUGUUGAACUACAACACCAGCUGAUUUGUUUUUAUUUAGUUGUUAUUGAGUCAAAUAAUUGUUAAGAUAUUUUUUUUAUUUUUAGUCUUUGAAUUGUUAACGUUAGAGUCAAUGUUAAUCCUAUUUUUUAGCACUUAGUUGAGUCAUUGUUAGCUACAAUAUAUGCUGAAAAUAUGGCAGCAUUGUUACAUGUGUUUUGAUAUAAUAACGUAUUUGGUUCAGCAAUAAACAACAAGUUCUUCCAUUUUUUCUGUAUUUUUUUCUUAAAAAUAUUGCUAUGAAAUAUGAAUUAUGGCAUUCAUUUAUUGUUCUAGUCUACAUUUUGGUAUCAGAGCUAGUUUGAUUAAAAGACAUGCAUAUUAAUUUUCUAAGAGUUGUCAUUGUUAUUGGUAAAAUAGUUGAACUACAAGUCAUCAGUGGAAUAAAAAAACUAAGCAAUCAAAAUUAUAAUUCAUGGUCUAAAUGCAUGAUGUCAUAUCUGUUCAUGGUCUAAAUGCAUGAUGUCGUAUCUGCAAGGCCAAAAUCUAUAGGAGGUAGUUAACGGGAAUAAAAGUACACAACCAGAAGAGGACGAAAAUGGUGUUAUAAGGAAAUGAAAUAUUAAGACAGGUAAAACCAUGUUUGCCUUGAAGACAACAUUAGAAGAAGAUCUAUUGGAAUACAUUCAGAAUGCAAAGACCCCAAAAGAAGCUUGGGAUACAUUUGUUGAUCUGUAUUCAAAGAAAAAUGAGACAAGACUUCAAAUUUUAGAGAGUGAAUUAAUGUCAAUAAUGCAGUGUAGAAUGACGACUGCUCAAUAUUUUCAAAAGGUGAAAUCUUUAUGUUGAGAGAUUUUUGAGUUGGAUCCACAAGUUCCAAUUGGUGAAACCAGAAUGAAGAGGGUAAUUAUUCAUAGUUUGAGACUAAGAUAUCAAGGCUUUGUCACAACAGUAUAGGGAUGGUAGAAUCAACUAGUAUUUGUUGAGUUCGAGAAUCUAUUAGUUGGUUAAGAAGCAUUGGCUAAGCAAAUGGCAGGAAUUUCAUCGAAAAGUGAAGAAGAAGUUCUUUAUGCUGGUAGGAGUAAAAAAAAUUUCAAGCAACAUGCUGCUGGGGGUCAAAAAGAAAUCAAGAGGAAAAGGGUAAUCGUGAAAAUGCACCAAAGCAUUAUGGUAACACCAAGAAAUUUGAAGGAAAGUGUUACAAUUGCAGAAGGAAAGGUCACAUGGAAAAUGAUUACUUUUCAAAGAAAAAAACUGUUGAGAGCAAUGCUACUAUGUCCAAAAGCGAAGAAGAACGGGAUGUCGAGGCUCUUGUUAUGAUGGAAGAAAAAGAGUCAGCUCUAACUAUGACAACAAAACAAAUUAAUUAUAAGGAGGACUAGAUCAUUGACUCAAGCUACUCAAAUUAUAUGACGGUUGAUAAAGAAAAGCUGUAAAAUUUAUCGAAGUACAAGGGAAGUCGUGUGGUGGUGAUAGCAAGAGAAUCAAAGCUACCAAUAGCCCACAUUGGUAACACUAUAAUUUCUCUGAAGCAUAAGGAUAAUGAUGUAUCACUUUAAAAUGUCUACCAUGUCUCAGGUAUAAAGAAGAAUUUACUUUCGGUAGCACAAUUAACAUCUAUUGGUCAUUUUGUCUUAUUUGGCCUACAAGAUAUGAAGGUAUACCGAGAUCUUAAGAUUUCAAAAUACCAAUAAUAGAGGGGAAGAGAUCAAAAUCGAUUUAUGUGGUGUCAACAGAGGCUGCAUAUGUAGAUAAGUCGAAGAAGAACGAGACAGGGAUUUGUGGCACAUGCGAUUAGGUCAUGUAAACUAUUCAAAGCUUGUUAGGAUGAUGAAGAAAUUGAUGUUAAGGUGUCUUCCACAACUUGAAGUUAGAACUGAUUCGAUAUGCCCUAGCUAUAAAUAUGAAAAAGUUCAUCAAUUACCAUAUGCAGACUCUAAGUUUCAAGAAAAAGAAUUAUUAGAAUUGAUGCAUUCUGAUGUGUUUAGAUUUAUUAAAAAAGCAUCAAAUGGUGGAAUGAAGUAAAUGGUGACCCUAAUUGAUGAUUUUUCAAGGUAUGUGUGAGUUUAUUUUGUAAAGGAAAAAUCUAACACAUUUUUUUAAAUUUAGGGAGUUCAAGGAAACAACUGAAAUAGAGGUUGGAAAAAGAAUCUAUUGUUUACGAAUGGAUAAUGGUGGAGAAUAUAGCUCAAAUGAAUUUUCUCAGUAUCUUCGAGAUUGUCGAAUACAUCAUCAUCUAAUAUGUGCCAAUACACCACAACAAAACGGCAUGGCUGAGAGCAAAAAAAAAACACUUGGCUGAAAUUUGUCGGAGUAUGCUUUACACAAAUAGUGUACAUGGCAGAUAUUGGGAAGAAGAAAUGAGGAUAGCUACAUUUGUUAUCAAAUCGUCUCCCUCAAAAAAGGUCAUGUUUUUUUAUCACAUUUUGAAAAAUUAUGGAAUAGAAAAAACAUUUGGUUAGUUAUUUUCGAGUUUUUGGAUGUGUAUGCUAUGUGCUCAUACCUGACCAUUUGCUUAGUAAAAUGGACAAGAAAGCUAUAAAAUGUAUUUUUAUAGGAUAGGACAGCCAAAGAAAAGGUUAGAGAUGUUGUGAUCUUGUAAGUGGCAAAUGCUACACAUCUCAAGAUUUAGUGUUCGAUGAAACUUCUUCUUAGUAGACUUCAGAAAAGGAUGAACUACUGAAUUCAGAAAUUUUUGGUGAUGCACAACCUUCCCAUAUUCUAUAAAGUUUUGACAAGAUGGAAAAUGGAAAUGAUGCUUGUGAUCAUAAAAGUGAAAUAGUGCAGAAUCCAUGGCAAACUGAUGUGUAUCGACAACUACAAAAAGGAGUUGAACAUGGUGAAGUGAGAACACUAGCUCCAUUGAGAAGAUCAAUAGGAAUAAAAAGGGAAAAUCCCAGAUACAGUAAUGCCGCCAUAGUAGCAGAAGCUGAUAUAAUGGAGCCAAAUAUGUUUAAAGAAGCAACUCAAAAUGCAAAUUAGACCAAGGCUGCGAAGGAUGAAAUUGUUGCACUUAAACACAACUAGACUUUGAAGAUUGUGCCAAAGAAAAAAGAUGUCGAACCAAUUUCCUGCAAGUGGAUUUACAAAAUAAAUGUCACAUCGAUGGAUCAAUUGAAAGACACAAGGCUCGAUUGGUAGCUCGUGGAUUUUCUUAGUAAUAUGGACAAGACUAUGAUGAAACGUUUAGUUCUAUUACUAAGAUUACUACGGUUCAAGUCUUACUUGCACUAGCAGAUAACAAAAAUUAGCAGUUGUGGCAAAUGGACAUGAAGAAUGCAUUUUUACAUAAGGAGUUAGAUCGUGAAAUUUAUAUGAAUAAGCCAAUUGGGUUUCAAUGUACAAGCUUCGAAAAGCAUUCUAUGAGUUAAAGCAAGUGCCUAGGCUUUAGUAUGGUAAAAUUUUAGAAUUUCUUACUCAUGAUGGAUUCUUAGUGACAUCCGCAGAUUCUAGUUUGUUUGUUAAAAACAAAGAAAGACGGCUGGUUAUUGUCCUAGUGUGCGUGGAUGAUUUAAUAAUAACAAGAGAUUGCAAAGAAGAAAUUCUUCAAACAAAAGAGAAUUUUUCUAUUCAUUUUCAAAUGAAAGAAUUGGGACACUUGAAACAUUUUCUCAGUCUAUAGAUUGAUCACAUAGCGGAAGGAAUUCUUCUCCAUAAAAAAAAAAUAUUCCAAUGGUUUACUGGAAAAAUUUGAAAUGUUUGAGUGCAAACCUAUCGCAACUUCAGUGGAGCCAAACGCCAAUAUUUGUUCUCUUGAAGGGAAAGAUUUAGAAAAAGUGACUAUGUAUCAAAAAUUGGUAGGUAGUCUAAUCUAUCUAACUCUAACUAGGCCUGAUAUCUCAUAUGCAAUAGGUGUGAUGAGUCGUUACAUGCAAAGUCCAAAGAAGUCACAUCUAGAAAGAGUUCAACGAAUUUUGAGAUAUGUGAAAGGUACACUUGAAUAUGGUAUCUUGUACAGAAAAGGUGAAGAGUGAACGUUGAUUGGCUACUGUGAUGUUGAUUUUGCGGGAGAUUAUGAUACUUGAUGUUUAACAACAGGGUAGUUUUCAUGAUAAGAGCAGGAACCAAGCAUGUGACAGUCCAGUUUUACAUGCAAAAACCAAGCAUGUGGCAAUCCGUUAUCAUUUUAUUAAAGAGAAAAUUCUGUUAGAAGAGAUUGAGUUAAAGAAGGCUAAAACAGAAGACCAAAUUGCAAAUGUGUUCAUUAAAGGCCUGAGAGGUAACAAGGUUGAGAAUUUUCGUUAUAGGCUUAGCAUGGUGAGAAAGACACAAGCUGAUGUUGAGAGGGAGUGUUGAACUGCAACACCAGUUGAUUUGUUUUUGUUUAGUUAUUAUUGAGUCAAAUAAUUGUUGAGAUAUUUUGCUGAUUUUUAGUCUUUGAAUUGUUUACGUUAGAGUCAGUAGUAAUUCUAUUUUUUAGCCGUUAGUUGAGUCAUUGUUAGCUACAGUAUCUGCUGAAAAUAUGGCAGUAUUGUUACUUGUGUUUUGAUAUAAAAACGUAUUUGGUUCAACAAUAAAUAACAAGUUCUUCCAUUUUUUUCUGAAUUUCUCUUCUUAAAAAUAUUGCUCUGAAUUAUAAAUUGUGGCAUUCAUUUCCUAUUCUAGUCUAUAAUACCUAAUCUCUUCAAAAUUAAAAUAAAAAUUUGUGUAGUCAAUAACAUUUGAAUCCUUUGUACCAAACAACUUUUGAAAGAACUGAAUGUUUUGAUCAUAGGUUUCCAAUAAUGCAUCAUGGGCAUCAUCAAGGUAAUUACUCUUGAGGUCAACUAUUUGGUAAUGUCCAAAAUUUCUCAAUAAUCUUAGCACAAUCUUCUUUUAUAUAUUUUCCUUAUUAGUUUUUUUUUAUUCACAUGUUCAUUUUAUGGUUCAUAUUCAGGAUUUGUAGUUGUUCCUUUCAACCAUAUCAAGUAAAAGUACCAUGAAGUCCUUUGUACUAAGAUUCAGAUUGCAUUUUACCUCUCUAUUCAAAAAAAUAGUAAAUUAGUCCUUGUAUGCUAAAUUAAAGAGCAAAUUGGUACUUCUAUUAAAAAUUUCACCCAUUUUUGUUGUUAAAAAUUAGUCUCUAUACCUUAUAAUGAGGUACAUGUUGUUAAACUAUAGCAUGAAAUAGAUAAACAACAGAGACUUUAUGAAUUAAGAAGAAUAUACUGAGAAAAUUAUUUCUCUGUACAAUGGAUGCUAGUGCUUUUAUACAUCAUAGCAAAGCAUGCUAUCUACAGAGAACAAACUAACAGAUUAACUAAUAGCUAACUAAUAACUAACAGAUUAACUGACUUAUCAAUUACUCUAACAUUCCUUCAGUUUCUUGAACCUUGAACAUUAAGGUCAGCAUCACUUGAAAGAACUCGAAGAGCAUGUCGAAAUGAGGCAAACUGUUUGGGUUAAUAGGGUUUGUGAGAACAUCAGCGACUUGUUUUGUCAAUGGAACAAAAUUAACCUGCAGUGCACCAUCAAGUAUUUUUUCACGAACAAAAUGAUGAUUGAUCUCUACAUGUUUUACCUUGGCAUGAUGUGUAGGGUUUGCGACCAUUGAGAUUGUGGAAGUGUUGUUGCACCAAACCAUUAGUGACUUACAGAUUGGCAUACCAAUUUCAUCUAGCAACUGUUUAACCCACAACAACUCAGAUACGCAAUUGGCCAAACUACGAUAAUCUAAUUCAGACGAAGACCUGGACACUACUGCUUGCUUCUUGGAACACCAUGUAAUAGGGUUAGGUCCUAGAUAAAAAACAUAUCCUAUGGUAGAAUGUCGAUCUUCAAUAGAUGAAGCCCAGCUAACAUCAGAGCAGCAAACUGAUUCAAACUGACCUUUUGAGAAGUACAUGCCAUGAUCUAUAGUUUUAGUAAGAUAUCGCAACACUCGUUUAACUGCCUUCCAAUGAGUGUAACUUGGAGAAUUCAUGUAUUGAAUGAGUUUGAUAACACAAAAUGACAAGUCAGUGCAUGUAAUGCACAUAUACUGAAGCAUUAUAACUACGCUUCGAUACAAAUGACCAUCAGUAAAUGGUGGACUAGCAUAUGAAGCAACCAAUUUAGCAGUGCUCACCAUGUGAAGUAUCUCGAGAUGUACUUUUUCUGAGUAAGUAACAAUCCCCGAGGUGUGUGUCGAACUUCAACACCUAAGAAAAAAUUAAGUAUUCCCAUGUCUUUAAGAGCAAACUUAUUGAGAAGUUGAUGCACCACGUUGUCUAUAUCAUCAUUUGAACUACCUGUUAUAACUAUGUCAUCUACAUAAGCUAUAAAUAGCAAUGAAUUUCCUGAAGAUGCUCAAAUGAAUAGUGAUGGAUCAGCUUUCGAUAUAACGGCCUGAUUUUGGGCCCAGCCGAAACAAUGGUCUCGAGACCACUAAUAUGAGGUUGGAGAAAUUAUUUUUAAUAUUAUUUUAUGUGUUUUGGCAUGAUUAUAUGAUAGUAUGAAAAUUCUGACGAAUAAAUUUUAGCAAUUUCAUGCUUAAUUGUAAAAAAAAAAGACUAAAUUGCAUAAACUGCAAAAGUCCUAUUUGGAUAGCUAAGGGUGUCGAAUAGCUAGAGAACCUAAACUGGGGAUCUUUAAAGGGCAAUUAGACCCUUAAAAGACAAGCUAUCCGGCCAUAGAGACACGAGGAGUCAAAAAAGUCAAAAGAUGACUAGGGUUGGUAAUUAAUGACAUUAGCAAAUUGAAUAUUAAAAUAAAAUCAAAAGGGUCAUCUUUCUUCUUCAUUUUCCACCAAAAAUAGCAGUAAUUAGAGGGGUUUUUGAAGAUUGAAAUUUCAUUCACUUACUCUCUCUACAAGUAAGUGAUCUUGAUAGUUUUUCUUGAUGAUUUUUGUACUUUUAGAACCCUUGAAGCACGACCUUUCAAAUAAGGGGACUAUUUUGCAAAAUGGUUGAAAGUAUAGGGUUUUUACCAUGUGUUCAUGUUGUUUUCUGAAAUUUUUUGGAAGAAAAUGAAUCAUGGUUGUGAAAUAAACAACUUUUGUGAAGUAGUUUUCAUGGAAACCCUAACUAAAGACUAUUUUGCAUAAGUUGUAAAAUAGUUGAUAAAUGUGUGAAUAAUGAGAAUUGUGGGUUGCUCCUAGUACAAAAAGUAUUCAUCUAGGCUUGAUUAAUGAGAAAAUGUGAUAAAAAUUUGAUUUUCAGGUCUAAGGGUAAAAUGGUCAUUUCGUGAAAGUCUAAGGGCAAAAUGGUUAUUUUGCCCAAUUAUGAAUUGUGGAGUACCUAGAUCAAUAAAAUGAUUAAAUUUGUGAAUUUUUAUCAUUAUAGAUCAAGAAUUACAAAAUCCGAGCCUAGACCGGGGAAAAGCAAAACAAGUGGACUAAGCCGAACUAGUCGUCUACAUUUUGUAAUCCAAGGUAAGUUGUAUGUAAAUAAUACAACUACAUUGUUAUUAUAUAUGUUUGAAUUGAUAUAGCAUAAAUUGCUUGUUUGUGGAAAUGAUUAUGUAUGAUGAUGAAUAUUGAAAUAGUAGAACUCCCGUUUGAACCUUAGGAAAUAAAUCGGAUAUUCAUGCCAUGACAUUCGGGUUAUUUGUAUGCUAGUGUAAGACCAUGUCUGGGACAUGGCAUCAGUAUUGAGACGAGAGCUAGUGUAAGACAUGUCUAGGACAUGCAUCAGCCUUCAGAUGUAAGCCAGUGUAAGACAUGUCUGGGACAUGCAUCGGCUACGAGAUGUGUUAGUGUAAGGCCAUGUCAGGGACAUGGCAUCGGCACGUAUAGAGGUGUUAGUGUAAGACCAUGUCUUGGACAUGGCAUCAACACGGAUAUGUGAGAGCUAGUGUAAGACCAUGUCUGGGACAUGGCGUCGGCCUCGAUUUUGAUAGUCAGUGUAAGACCAUGCCUGGGACAUGGCAUCGACAACAUACCCUCUGUUUGAGGCUUAGUGAAUAUCCAAUAGCAUUCCAAAUGUUUCAACGGUGAGAGUUACAGUUUAAGUUAAACGAGAAAAAUAUAACCAUGUUGUGAGUGGUACAGGUACCUAUUUGAAAUGUAUGAUAUGUGAGCUCAAUAUAUGCUAUGUGAUUUGUAUUGGAUAGUGAUGAGUAAGUUGUGUUUAUGCCUACUUUAGUACUAUGAGCAUGAUGAUGAAUGGUAAAGUUGUUGUUAUAUUUAUUUGCAUGCAACUCACUAAGCUUUAUGCUUACUCCCUCUUCUUUCCAUUUUCUUAUAGUGCCGCCUAAUUAGUUCGAGGAUCAUUGGAUGUUGGAGGCAUCGAUCACACUAUCAUCUGAAGCACUUGGUAUAGUUAGAUCUUUUAUUUUGAUUAUGGCAUGUAUAAGACCCUGACUUUUGAGUUUUGUGUCAUUGUUAAUUGGCCAAAUGUGUUGGCUUACUUUAGUAUUUGAUUCAUUUUGUAUAAGGCCAUGGAAAAUGGCAAUAUUGAAAGUUAUUAUGUGAAUGCAAGCUAGUCUUUCAUGAAUGUGAAAUUGUCGGCAUGUUUAAAUAUAUGUAAUGUAUAUAGAUAUUAACUUUGAUUGUUUGGUUAAGAAAUCAUAUUAAGUUAAACUUUGAUAUGUUGGUUGAUGUUAGAUUGUGGUUCAAGGUGGCAAAGGCUUGGUAGAUAGCCCUAUAUUGUCCAUACGGGUAGGCACACGGGCAUGUGCCUAGGCCGCGUGUAACACACGACCAACCCCAUGGGCGUGUUGUUCAGCCAUCUGUCCCAUACACGUAAAAUUUGCAAGUCAAAAUGCAUGGUAGUAAACAUACAUGGUAGAGACACGGCCGUGUGUCUCAGCCGUGUAGAGGACACGGCCUCUGGCCAAAGAUGUGUGCCUCUUAUUAGAUGCUGACAUCAGAAACAGAAUGUCAAGGUUUUUAUACAAGGGCUUGGACACGGACAUGACAUGGCCGUGUAAGGGACACGGGCCAUAGAAACGGGCGUGUGUCAGGCUGUGUGAAAACCCUUGUAGGUUCAAAUUUAGAAUUUAAUUCACAAGGGUAUGGGACACGGGCGUGUCUCUAGAUGCUUAAACCGUGUAGGUCACAUGGGCUGUCAGCACGACCAUGUUAUAAUGACCACACGGGCGUGUUACCCUUCCACACGAGCGUGUGCCCUGUUUUAAGCAUUAUCUUUCUAAAGUUAGUUAGAGGACCCGUGUUGAUCCCGAAGGGUUUCCAAUGGAUGUUUGGGGCCUCGUAGGUCCAUAUUAAGGAGUCUAGACAAAGUUAUUAAAUUUAGAAAAGUUUUUAAUUUGACCGAGUCUUAAUGACAUCGAAAUGAUUGUACACAUGUGAUUAAUUGUGGUAACGCCUCGUAUCUCAUCCCAGCGUAGGGCUUGGGUGUGGAGUGUUACAUUCGAAGCAUGAAACCCAAGUUGAUCAAUUAGAUACUAUUUGAGAGUGUGGAACCAUGCACGAAGACCUUGUCGUAGACUAUACAAAGCAUUGUUCAAUCUGCAAACAAGCUUCUAUCCAUUGUUACCUGACAUUUCAAAUCCAGACGAUUAAUCCAUGUAUAUCUCCUCAGUCAAAUUCCCAUUGAGAAAUGCAUUUGAUAAUACUCUGGAAUGACAUAUUUUAUGUAUUAAUUACAUAUUUAUUUUGAGUAUGAUCCUACUAAUUUGAGCUAUUUAUGUUUUUUUAUCUUGUAGGGACUAAGUUGAAGGCACAAGGAAAUUUGAGGGAAAAAAGCGUGAAUUUAAAGAUAAAAUGGGCUAGCAUGCGAAGUAGGAAAGAAGUGGUGUCGAAAAUACAAAGUGUGGAAGACUUAGGGGCAAAAUGCAAAGAAGAGAUUUUAUAAACACAAGACUCUAUUUAAAUUUUAAUUAUAUUAGGAUAAUUGUUAAGAUUAUUUAAAUUUAAUUUUAGCUUUUAUCUCUAUUUAUCUUUUAAAAUUUAGAUAGGAAUAUACUAGGUUUUCUAAGUACUAUAAAUAGGGCAUGGAGUGACACAAAUUGCACUCAUCUUUUUCUGUAAAACUCCCUCUCCCAAAAAGCUUAGCCUUUGUUUCUUUCAUUUAUUCAAUAAAAUUUCAUUUUUAUUAAGUUUAUUUCUUUUUCCCAAAAAGUAUGAGCUACUAAAUUCAUCUAGCCAAAGGUUGUCGAAAUUCCCAAAAAGGGUUCAUAAGGCUUAGAAUUCGCACUUAGCCUUCUUAACGAGUAUUCAUCGUUUCUUCGCACUACGGGACUAAUGCUUCUGUCCAUGUCCCUUCAAAAGUGAUCUUUUCAUCUUGAACAAAGACGUCCGCUUUGUAUGUUUUGGGAUGGUUACACAGUUGGUUCAUUAGCUUACUGCGUUAGUGGUUGUCGAGCCCAAUAGACAAAAUGGCGUAACAUUCUCCAAUGAGAAGUGAUGAUCUAGUGUAAGACAGUCCGACAAAAGCGACGGUUGGCUAGAGUCAGGUUCCUCUAAAUAGUAAGUCUAAAAUCUAAGUGGAACUGGUGGUCGUAGGCGUCCUCUUCCACUGUAACUAGCUUACUCUGUUCAAGAAGGAUCACCUUAAAGCCUAGGAUUGAACCCAAGGAGGAUCGACAUAACCGGAGGCUAAAAUCUCUCCAUCAAAAACUCUCUUUUCUCAACUCUGUUUAUCUUUACAAUUUUAAUUUCAAUUUACGCAAUUUCAAUUCAAAAAAAGUUUUAAUUCUAUUUUUAUUUUUAUUUUUUCCCAAGUAUACCAGUUUUCUUGGGUACGACUCUGCCUAGGAUCUCGAGGAAUAGGAACUUGUGCAAAUUCAGUCCCUGAGAAUUUGACCUUACUUCCCUUAUACUAUUAUUGUUGUUAUUUUAUAAGGAUAGGAUAUUUUUGGUGCUCUCAACGAUGCAUCAAACUUUGGCGUCGUUGCACGGUUCUGGUAACGUACUAAUCUUGUUUUCUUUUGUUUCUUAUGACCAGAUCUACACCAGGUAUUCUUACAUUUGAUUCAGAAAUAAAGAAGACUGCGAAAGCUAAUCGCAAAGAAACAAAGCUACGGAAAAAGCAAUCAGGGGUGGUAAGGACUCAGUAACCCACCGUUGAAAGUAGAAACAGACGACGAGGUUGAGUCUGGGGUUAAUGAAAACCUUACUCAAACACUAUAAAAUGAAAUAAUACAAGUCGAUCCACCAGAAGAAGUGCUUAACACUAGGGUUAACGAAAACCCAAAUCUAGCACAUUAACCUAUGGCUCAAACAAUCCGGCAAAUAGCUAAAGCUCUUGGAGAACAACAACUAUUAUGCAUUGCGUAUCCUAUUGUGGAUACUGAUUUUAAACUAAAGUCAGGAUUAAUCCAGUUACUACAAACUUUUCAUGGGUUGCAAAACAAAAAUCCACAUAAACAUCUAAAAGAGUUUCAUAUGGUUUGCCUUAGUAUGAAACCUUAGGGCGUAACUGAGGAUCAAAUCAAAUUGGGUAUUUUCCCUUUGUCUCUAGCAGAUUCUGCUAGGGAAUGGUUGUUUUACCUAUCUCUUGGAUCUAUUACAACUUGGACUGAUCUUUCCCCUUUUUUUUCUUAACAGGUUUUUUUCCAGCACCGCGUGUAGCUGAGUUAAGAAGGGAAAUCGUUGGGAUAAGGCAAAAAGAUGUGGAGUUUUUUUAUGACUAUUGGGAGUGAUUUAAGAAGUUGUGUACAAGUUGACCACAACUGGUAUAACAGAACAGUCUCUAUUCCAAUACUUUUAUGAAGGCUUAAAGCUCAUAGAGAAGAAUAUGGUAGAUGCCGCUAGUGGAGGAGCAUUGGUCAACAUGACUCCCCAACAAGCAAAGGACUUGAUAUCCACGAUGGCUACAAAUCUCAACAAUUUCGAGCCAAUCUUGAACCCACUAGAAGGGUUCACCAACUAAGUAUUUUAACUUUAGAAGAUAAAGUUGAUCAACUUACUAAUAUCAUGAAUUCUCUUUUUGCAGUAAAAAUAGGACCAACCCAACUGUGCGAAAUUUAUGCAACACCUAAACAUAUAACCGAUGCAUGCCCUAGUUUGUGUAACGAUACUAUGGCCUAUUUAGAUACUGUGGGAAACUUUCCUAGACUGUCCCAAAGGUGAUAUGACUCAUAUGCAAAUACAUAUAACCUAGGAUGGAAAGACCAUCCUAACUUGAGUUAUAGGGCAAACCUACAGUAUAACCAGCCAUACCAAAAUCGGUUUCCACAAUAGUCGUGAGAUUCAGGUACCUCUCUAGAAAUCAUAGUCAAUAAAUUAGCAGCUAAUAUGCUUGAUUUUCAACAGAAAACCGAGGCAUUUAUAAGAAAAUUGACCACAUCAAUUGAGAAAAUGAACUCAUAAGGAAAGCUAUCGUCAUAAAUUAAACCUAACCCAAGACAACACGUAAAUGCAGUGACGUUGCGAAGUGGAAAAGAACUGGAACCAAAUCCUAGUAGGAAUCUUAAUCAAGAUUCUGCAUAGAAAAUAUAGAAGAACGAUGAACAGGUCUGAAGGAAACCUUCACUGCCCAUAAUUCAACGUCUAUUUCCAAGACAAUUGAACCAACAUCAGAGAGGUAAGGAGGAAAAAGAUAUCCUUGAAACAUUCAAAAAUAUUGAGAUCAACAUACCAUUGUUAGAUGCCAUCAAACAAAUUCUGCGAUAUGCCAAGUUCCUUAAAAAGGUUUGCACCAACAAGCAAAAAUUGAUUGGAAAUAAAAGAAGAAGUGUUGGUGAAAAUGUAUCUGCGGUGUUACAGUGGAAGAUGCUAGCAAAAUGUAAAGACUGGGGCAUGUUUGCAAACCAUACAAAAUAGGUCAUUUAGGAAUUAAAAAAAAUGUGUGAUUUAGGGGCCUCUAUAAAUGAUGAAUCUCUUAACGCGAGUUUUUUAACGAAAACAUGUGUUGUCAUUCAAUUACCAGACAAGUCUAUUGUGCAUCUCGAAGGACUCUUUAAGGACGUAUUAGUGAAAGUCAACAGACUUAACUUUCCUGUAGAUUUAUAUGAUAAAAACAGAAGAGGAUAAUGAUCUUAGGUCUUCAGACAUCCUGUUGGGGAGACCUUUCCUUAUUACUGCAAAUACUAAGAUUGACGUGCGUAGCGGAACUCUCAUGAUAGAAUUUGACAGGGAGAUUGUGAAGUUUAAUGUUUACGACGCUAUUAGUCACCCAAGUGCAAUCUUGAACGUAAAUUGUGUCGACAUAAUUUACUCAUUAGUAGAAGAAACUUUUGAGUCAUCUUAUGGAGAUAAACUUGAAACAAUGUUUGAUGAUAAUUUUGAUUCGGGAUCUAUUUGCGAAUCUAUUAAUGAAUUAUCAGCUCUUAUGAAUACUAAACAUCUACCAUUUGUUUUGCAGACACCAGAUAUGGAAUUAAAAAUACUUCCUGAGCAUCUCAAAUGCAAAUUUUUGGAGAAUGACGAGACCAUUGCUUACUUGAAAGGGAUCAACCCCUUGACAUACACACAUAAGAUGUUCUUAGAGGAAAAAAUGAAACCAAAUCAAAUGGUGCAAGGACAAUUAAACCCAAAUAUGGUAGAUGUGGUAAAAAAAGAAUAUUUCCAAGCCUAUAUAAAUGAAAUAAUUCAGUUGAAGCAGCCCCAAUACUAGUUAGGGCGUCAAGCUAACGACGUUAAACAAACGCUUGUUGUGAGGCAAUCUAAUUUUUUGAUUUAUAUUUAUAUUUUAUAUUUUCUUUAUUUUUUGGCAUGCUAAUAAAUUGUAUCUCUCUUCUUAUAUCUAGGAGAAUCGAGGAAUCGAAAAAAAUUAAAUUUGGAAACGGGCGAAAACAGUAACAAAUACGACAUGGGGAGUGUUCUAAACCCUUUCUUUUUAUCAUAUUUAUUAAUAUUGUUUUUCACAUUGAGGAAAAUGUGUUUUAAGUAGGGGGAGACAUUGCUCAUUAUUUUUGUCAUUUUAUCUGAUGCUUUUACUGUUGUUUUAUUGUUGAUGCUGCCUUAUGCACGUUUUUGCCCACAUUUAUUUUUUUUAGAAUAUUCUACCUCUUUUCAUGCCCAAGAUUUUAACUAGGAAUUGCCCACUAUUUGACCUGCGAACAUGAUUCUUGUCUACUGAGUUAGCUAUGAUUUUGCUAGUUUGAUUUCGUCUCCACUGUUUUAUUUCUAUUAGGCUAAAAUAAUUAUAAUUAAUAGAGUUAACUCUAUCUUGCUUAUAUUAAAAUCAAUUAAGUCUAAAUGCAAAGAGGACACUUAAUACAAUUGCAUGCUAAAAUUAUGUUCAUGACUAUUAGGAGGUUGCUGAAACUUAUUUCUGACACUUGAUUGUUUUUCCUAGUACCCUAAAAUUAAAAUUUCGUUUAAUGAUAAUAAUAAAUUUUGAUGUCUCUGUGGUUAUGAGUGCAGCUUAAAGACGUGACUAGCUAAGUAAUCGGGGUAGGGUGUCUGCGUUGUCAUCCUACUUUGCGUCAAAAGAUUGUGUGACGUGUUAGGUAAAAAAUCGCUAACCGGAAUUAAACAAAUUUUUUUUAGGAAUGUGUUGGCCUGAGUAACCGGGGUGGAGUGCUUGGCUGUCAUCUCUCUUCGCGUCAAAAGGUUCAAUAUAUUCUUAAGAAAAAAAUAAUAUAUAUAAAUAUAAUAAAUUAGGAGUAUAUUGGGCUAAGUAACCAGGUAGGGUAUUUGGCUGUUAUCUCUCUUUGUGUGAAAAGGUUCAAUAUAUUCUUAAGUAAAAAAAAAAAGAGAAAAAGAAAAAAAAGAUGUAUUAAUAAUAAAAUUACAUUUGGGGACUAAGAGUGGAAACAAAUAGGGUGUCUUGGUAAGUUUAGUAAAUUACCUAAUUUUUAUGAAAUAAUCCAGGUCGAAUUAAUUGGAAUACUUUUUUAUUUUUACUUAAAGCAAGCUAAAAGUUCUCUUCAUUUAUCAUAUACAUUACGCCUACUUUUUAUAAAACUUUGGAGUGAUAUUUCUUUCAUGGCAAAAAUCUAAAUUUCAUAGUGGAUAGGAACCAUACUUGAGGGCAAGCAUGGGCUAAGUAGGGGGAAUUUGAUAAUACUCUGGAAUGGCAUAUUUUUAUUUAUUAAUUAUAUAUUUAUUUUGAGUAUAUCCUACUAAUUUGAGCUAUUUAUGGUUUUUUAUCUUGUAGGGACUAAAUUGAAGGCAAAACGAAAUUUGAGGGCAAAAAGCGUGAAUUUAAAGAUUAAAUGGGCCAGCAUGUGAAGUAGGAAAGAAGUGGUAUCGAAAAUGCAAAGUGUGGAAGACUUGAGGGCAAAAAUGCAAAGAAGAGAUUUUAUAAACACAAGAUUCUAUUUAAAUUUUAAUUAUAUUAGGGUAAUUGUUAAUAUUAUUGUUUAGAUUUAAUUUUAGCUUUUAUUUCUAUUUAUCUCUAUUUAUCUUUAUUUAUCUUUUAGAAUUUAGAUAGGAAUAUACUAGGUUUUCUGAGUACUAUAAAUAGAGGAUGGAGUGACACAAAUUGCACUCAUAUUUUUCUGUAAAGCUCCGUCUCCCAAAAAGUUUAGCCUUUUUUUCUUUCAUUUAUUCAAUAAAAUUCCAUUUUUAUUAAGUUUAUUUCCUUUUUCCCAAAACGCAUGAGGUACUAAAUUCAUCUAGCUAAAGGUUGUCGAGAUUCCCCAAAAAAGGUUAAUGAGGCUUAGAAUCCACGCUUAGCAUUCUCAACGAGUAUUCAUCGUUUUUCCGUACUACGAGACUUACGCUUCCGUCCAUGUCCCUUCAAAAGUGAUCUUUUCAUCUUGUGUAAAGACAACCGCUUUGUAUGUUUUGUGAAGGUUGCAUAGUCGGUUCGUUAGCUUACUGCGUCAGUGGUUAUCGAGCCCAAGAGACAAAAUGGCGUGGUAAUCGCCAAUGAGAAGUGAUGGUCUAGUGUAAGACGGUCCCACAAAAGCAACGGUUGGCUAAAGUCAAGUUCCUCUAAAUCGUAAGUCUAAAAUCUAAGUGGAGCAAUUGGUCGUAGGCGUACUCUUCCACUAUAACUGGCUUAUUCUAUUCGAGAAGGAUCACCUAAAAGCCUAGGACCGAACCCAAAGACGAUCGAGAUAACCAGAGGCUGAAAUCUCUCCAUCAAAAACUCUCUUUUCUCAACUUUAUUUAUCUUUACAAUUUUAAUUUCAAUUUACGCAAUUUCAAUUCAAUAAAACUUUUAAUUCUGUUUUUUUUAUUUUUUCCCAAGUACGCCUUUUUUUUUUAGCAUGACUCUGCCCGGGAUCUUGAGGAAUAGGAACUUGUGCAAAUCCAAUCCCUGAAGAUUUGACCCUACUUCCCCUAUACUAUUCUCUUCGUUAUUUUAUAGGAAUAAGAUAUUUUUGGUGCUCUCAACAACGCAUUAGUAUUAUUGACAUCAAUUUGCCUUAAUGACCACCUUUUCAUGACUGCAAUAGCAAGCACAGUUCGAAUGGUUGUUACUCUAACUACUGGACUGAAGGUGUCUCGAAAAUCAAGUCCAACAUACUGAGAAAACCCUUUAGCCACCAAUCGUGCUUUAUACCUUUCCAUAAUCCCAUCGGCCUUCUUUUUCACCUUAAACAACUACUUGCAGCCGAUCGCCCUUUGAUUAACAGGAAGUGAACAAAUACCCCAUGUGUUAUUGUGAAGAAGGGCCUGAAACUCACUAUGCUCCGCUGCUUUCCAACACUCAUUACUUCAUGUAUGUCAGCAGGAGUAUCAUUAGAGAAACAUGUUGCUUUGCUUAGGUAUGCCUUGGGUUUAAAAAUGCCAACUUUUCUACGUGUAACCAUAGCGUGAGAGUUAAGUGGAACAGGAGGUUGAGGAUGUGGCUGGUCUGACAUAUCAGUACUAGACAUUCUAGAUAUAGUCUAGAUGUAGAGUUAUCACAGAAAGAAUGUACUGAACUAGGUGAGUUGGAUAGAGGGACAUCAUUCAAUGAGUUGACUGGAUGAGUGGUUGAAACAACAAAUGUUGGAUUAGCAUGUGGCAUAUGGCUUGGGGACAACACGAGCAGCUUAGAACUAGACUAUGGAGAAGGCAUAGAGGGAACAGAUUUUGAGCAGUUGGUUUGAAAUAGAAACACAAUUUCAUGAAAUGUGACAUGACGAGAAAUAUAUACUCUACCAUCAUUAUCCCGACAAUGAUACCCUUUGUGUAAGGGCUGUACCUAAAAAUAUGCAUAGGGUGGAUCGAAACUGUAGCUUAUGGGUGUUGUAGGGUCUAAGAUUGGGAAAGUACAAGUAGCUAAAAACUCAAAGAAAUGAAUAACUUGGUUGAACAUGAAAGAGCUUUUCAUAUGGUGAGAUGUUGCCUAAGAGAAAAGAAUGCAACCUAUUUAUCAAGUAUACUGCACUACUGAAUGCAUCAUUCCAGUAGGUUAAGGGCAUAUAAGCAUGAGCUAGCAUGGAAAGACCAGCUUCAACUAUCUGUCUAUGUUUGCGUUCAACUAAAAAAUUUUGUUUAGAAGUAUAUGGACACAUAAAACGAUGCAUAAUCCCUUGUUGAGAUAAGUACAACUUCAACGCUUGAAAUUCUCAUCCCCUAUCUGUUUGUAAAGCUUUAAGUUUACAGCUAAGAGCCCUUUCAGCUUGCCUAUGAAACUGCGGGAAGAUAGUGAGCACCUCUAACUUUCUCUACAAGAAAUAAACCCAAGUGUAUCUUGUAUAUGUAUCUGUGAAAGUAACAUAAUAACGAAAACCAUUGGAAGAGACUAGAGCUGGUCCCCAAACAUCAAUAACCACUAGUUGAAUAGGUGUAGUAUACUUAGAUAAAGACUUAUGAAAUGACAGCUUAUGUUCUUUUCUUAAGUGGCAAGCAACACAAUUAAGGGAUUCUUUAUUUGUACCAAAUGGUAUGUUACAAUGGUGUAGAGCCUUUUUAAGUGUGACAUUACAGGGAUGCCCUAACCUAGAAUGCCAUAUACCUAAAGAAACUAUCGUAUUAGCUGUAAAACAAUGGGUUGAGCCAGAAGACAAAGUAGUAUUGAGAGAGCCAUUUAAGUGGAGUCUGUACAACCCAUUAUGCAUCGAUCCUCGAAGAAUUAUCUCCCUAGUUUUCAGAUCACAAACCUGACACGGUGUAGGAAGAAACUCAAAUAUCACCUAAUUAUCUUUUGUAAAAUUAGACACAGAUCAGAGGUUUUUGGCUAUACCAAGUACAAAUAACAGGGAUUUCAUGUAUAAUGGUCAUGAAUGAGUAAGCAAAGAUGAUUACUAGUAGACAUAACAGGAAGUAUAGUAUCAUUACCAAUAUACACUUUACCUAAACCAUUGUAGGAAGUACUUUCACCUAGUGAAACAACUGAAUUGGUGAGAUGAUAUGUUGUGCCAGAGUCAGGAUACCAAGCAUUGCCACCAACUAUUUUAGGGGUCACAAGAUAGGCUUGAGGGCGUAGGGCUGCUGAAGUGGGUGCACUGACAUGUUGCGGAGAACUAAUAGUAAACGGAUUAGUCUAGGUAGGAAUUGGGGCAGGUGGAAAAAACCAACUCGGUUGUGAACUUGGAACAGCAAGAGGCGUCAUGGGCAUAGAUGAUGGCACCUAUGGUGCGAUAGUAGAUCCAGUACCAAACAUGCAGACAUUUGCUUGGGAGGAAGAAAGGGGUCUAUAGCCUGCACUCUUGUAAGAGGCAUCAAACCGAUAGUAACAUCAAUCAACAAGGUGACCUGUUUUCCUACACAAUUAACAUUGAACACUCGAUCUAGAUGAGCGACCACACCCACAACCUCGAGCAGCUGAUGGGUGACGAUAAGCAGGUGUAGGCGCACUAUUGACAACAAGGUCCACGUGUUGAUGAGAGAUCAUAUUAGCUGAUCUAGGGGCCUCAACUAUUGUAAUUUGUUGUCGUGCUUCAGCAUCAAGAAGCAUGGUAGUGACACCCUGCACAUUGUAGGGUAUAUGAAUUGCAAUGAUAAUCGUAAUAACAGAUUCAUACUCAGGCGAUAGGCCAUUAAGAAUUGCAGUAACAUGCUCAUGCUCGCUAAUAACUUCUCCACAACUAGCAAGAUUAUCACAGUAACCCUUGAUUUUCAUUAAGAAAUCUUUCAUGGAAAGAUCACCCUUGCGCUGAGAGUGUAAAGCCCUUUUGUAAAACAUCAACCGAGAGGUAGUCUUACUGUCAUACAAAUUAACAAGAGUAUUCCAGAUUUGAGCACUACUAUCCAGACCAAUGAGAUGUGAAAGAAUCGCUUAACUUACUGACGAUAAGAGCUACGGUGCAAGAGCGCUAUCUUGUUGUUCAAACCGCGCAAACUCAAGAUUCUCUUGAGGCACCCUAUUUUCAUCCAAGAUCAGUUGAGGAGGAGGAACAAUUUUGAAGCUUAUACAUAUUGAUCGCCAAAAGAACCUGUUGACACCACAGCAAGUAAUUAUUGUCAUCAAGAAGAACACUGAUUUUCUUGGUGGAAAAGAAACAACUAUCAAAGUCUCCAUCAGUAAGAUUGGAAGCCAUCACUGGUGUAACAGAUUGAACAGCAGACGGACUAAAAGUAGGAGCCAUGAAAAGCACAGGUAUUCAAAGAAAUAACUCCAGGAGGAAAUGGACAUCUGAUACCAUGCUAAACUAUAGCAAGAAAUAGAAAAAUAACAGAGAUUUUAUGAAUCAAGAGGAAUAUAUUGAGAAAAUUAUUUCUCUGUACAGUGGUUGUUAAUGCUUUUAUACAUCAUAGCAGAGCAUGCUAUCUACAAAGAACAAACCAACAGAUUUAACUAACAGCUAACUAACAACUAACAGAUUAACAGACUUUUUAUUAAAAAUUACUAUGGAGGCCUCUGUACUAAGAGUUUUAUUGCAUUUUGCCUCCUCUACUAAAAAAAUGGACAAAUUAUCAUCUAUAUACUAAAUUAAAGAGCAAAUUUAUCCCUUUUUAUUAAAAAUUUCAUCCAUUUGUACUAUUAAAAACUAGUGUGGUUGAGAAAUAACCUGACAUGUAACAUGCCACAUCACCUUUGGGAAUGCAAUGGUCUUACUAUUACACCCAACACUUAUUUGAUUAAUUAGGUUAGUUUUGAUUAAGAGAAACAACUAAGAAAUUAAACAUAACACAAAAGUUGCUUUCAAAUUUUCAUUUUCGAAAGUUCUGAUAUAUUGGAAAUUAUAAGCUUAGAUUACAAAUCUUAGAGAAAUAAAAAGGAUUUCCCUGCAAACUUCCCUAUAUAUGGAAACCUUAAAAAUACAUAAGGAGAGGCAUGGGACUAAGCCAUGACUGCAUUGCAUCAAAGCAAAUAUUUAUAUGAAACUACACCAAGCAAAUCAUAAAACUUGAAACACAUUGUUGGCAUGCAAAGAGGCUGAUCAGAAGCUGUGGAAUUGAUUAUUUAUUAAUGGCCACCACCCAUUCCUGGCGAAAGGGACACUUGUUUAGGUGGGUUCGGCAAUGCCAAUAUAGCCAACAACGCACUGACAGCAGCCGCUAUGGACCCCAGCACAAAAGCAGGCAAGUUGCCACCCCCGAAUGCAUCAUCCAACGGUCCACUAAUUACUGAUACGAACAUCUGCCAUUUUCACAUACAAAGUCAGUCUAUACAUAUCAUGCCAGAGUCUAUACAUAUCAUGCCAUUAAAUUUCACUUUAUCAACUACCAACAUACUGUCUACCAUAUUUUAAGUUAGAAAAUGAAGAAAGAUGAUAAAGCAAGUACCUGUGGGAUAACUAUAGACAAGUUUAGCACUCCUAGAGAAAGACCUGCCA